rnacentral:sRNA from 1 species
CCAUAGCCAUUUUGCUUCAAG